GAACGGCAGCACGGGAGCAAUCCUGGUGGCGAGUGGCGAACGGGUGAGUAAUACAUCGGAACGUGCCCAAUCGUGGGGGAUAACGCAGCGAAAGCUGUGCUAAUACCGCAUACGAUCUACGGAUGAAAGCAGGGGACCGCAAGGCCUUGCGCGAAUGGAGCGGCCGAUGGCAGAUUAGGUAGUUGGUGAGGUAAAGGCUCACCAAGCCUUCGAUCUGUAGCUGGUCUGAGAGGACGACCAGCCACACUGGGACUGAGACACGGCCCAGACUCCUACGGGAGGCAGCAGUGGGGAAUUUUGGACAAUGGGCGCAAGCCUGAUCCAGCCAUGCCGCGUGCAGGAUGAAGGCCUUCGGGUUGUAAACUGCUUUUGUACGGAACGAAACGGCUCUUUCUAAUAAAGAGGGCUAAUGACGGUACCGUAAGAAUAAGCACCGGCUAACUACGUG
rnacentral:rRNA from 1 species